rnacentral:tRNA from 1 species
CGUUCCAUGGCCAAGUUGGUCAAGUCAUCCAACUAUCGCUGAUUAUAGGCGCAGAUGCGGGUUCGAGUCCCGCUGGAACGG